rnacentral:rRNA from 1 species
GUAACGGCGAGUGAAGCGGCAACAGCUCAAAUUUGAAAUCUGGCCUCCUCGGGGUCCGAGUUGUAAUUUGUAGAGGGUGUUUCGGGCGCGAUGCCGGUCUAAGUUCCUUGGAACAGGACGUCGUAGAGGGUGAGAAUCCCGUAUGCGACCGGCGAUCAAGCCUGUGUGAAGCCCCUUCGACGAGUCGAGUUGUUUGGGAAUGCAGCUCAAAAUGGGUGGUAAAUUUCAUCUAAAGCUAAAUACUGGCCAGAGACCGAUAGCGGACAAGUAGAGUGAUCGAAAGAUGAAAAGCACUUUGGAAAGAGAGUCAAACAGUACGUGAAAUUGUUGAAAGGGAAGCGCUUGCAAUCAGACCGGUCCGGAGGUGAUCAGCCGCUGCUCGUCAGCGGUGCACUCGCCUGCGAUCCGGCCAGCAUCGGUUCGGGCGGUGGGAUAAAAGUCCCGGGAAUGUAGCUUCCUUCGGGGAGUCUUAUAGCCCGGGUCGCAAUGCCGCCCGCCCGGACCGAGGACCGCGCUUCGGCUAGGAUGC